AUUCUUGUGCAUUUCCCACCCCCGCACACGGCUCUGCAUCCCGGCGUCACUCGCGCAAGGCUUGUGCACCGCUCAAACUCACCGAUCCCGCUCCCUCCACCUGACCUUGCGUUUCCUUUAGGAGCAACUCUCCUCUACCGAUUCGCGUCUGCUCACCACCGCGCAUUCUCCGUCUCCUGGCACCGCAGCUUACCAAUUCCACCACGCUGCUGGCAUUGCAAUGCGCUCUGCCAUCGCAGCGCAGCCAAAAGGGUGGGACGCGCGCUACGUGAACCCCGAUCACCCGCAUGACACCUCUUACUAUAUGAAGUGCAUCGGCGGCGGCAUCCUCGCCUGCGGUACGACCCACACGCCGCUCUGCCCUCUCGAUGUCGUAAAGUGUAACAUGCAGGUGAGCCCCGAGAGGUUCAAGUCUCUCGGCCAGGGGCUGCAGAUGGUCAUUCACCAGGAGGGCUACGGUUCGAAGGGCCUGAUGAAGGGAUGGGCAUCCAUUCUAUUUGGAUACUCAAUUCAGGGUGCCUUCAAGUUCGGUCUCUAUGAGUACUUCAAGGACCUCUACGCGAACAUGGCGGGCCAGGAGAACGCGAAGAAGUACGAGGGCAUCAUCUGGCUUGCCGGCUCCGCAUCUGCGGAGUUCUUUGCUGAUAUGGGUCUGUGCCCGUUCGAGAUGACUAAGGUGAAGGUGCAGACGUCGCCGAAAGGAACCUUCCCAACGGGCAUGCUCGCUGCCAUGGCCUCCAUGCGCGCCGACCCCUCCUCCGGCUUCCCUUACAAGUCACUGGUGCCGCUGUGGGGCCGCCAGAUCCCGUACACAAUGGCGAAGUUCUUCUUCUUUGAGAAGGUUGUGCGCAUGUUCUACCAGUACGUCUUCACGAAACCGAAGGAGCAGUACAACAAGGCCACGCAGCUCUCCAUCACCUUCGCCUCUGGGUAUAUCGCUGGCGUUAUCUGCGCCAUUGUUUCGCACCCCGCGGACACCCUCGUCUCUGCUCGCGGUAAGGCGAGCAACGCUGGCAAGUCGUAUGGCCAGAUCGCGAAGGAGAUGGGCUACAUAAAUGUGUGCAGCAAGGGUCUCGGAACUCGUAUCCUGAUGAUCGGCACGCUGACGGGUCUGCAGUGGUGGAUCUACGACACCUACAAGACCGCCCUCGGCAUGGGCACGAGCGGCCACUAAGUGUUCUCAGCGCUGCUGAAGAUGUUGAGCAUCUGGAGGAAACGCACAUGAUGAGGCAGUGCGUCCACUAGUGGGGGUCGAAAUGCCAAUGCAAGACCUUCGGCACCUCUAUCUGCCCACAGACACGGCGUCGUCAAAGCUGUCUGACGGAGGCACAAUGAUGACAGCGGCCUCCGCCACGGGUGCGCUGAUGCUGUAGACUGCCCGCCGAAGGACACAAACAAUAAGAUGCCUUUGUUUUUUUUAGUGUAGCAGGCUUUUGCAGCUAAUGCAUGUCAGCCUCUGUCCCUUGCAUGCACUUUUAUGCGCACAGCACGGACCCCCCUCCCCUUUUAUCUUUUUAAUCUCACCUUGAGUGUUGCAUACUAAACAUACGUCCAGCUAAACAAGCGCUCUCCGACAUGCGCCGGUGGAUGCUGGUGGCUGUAGAUAUUUUUUCGCUCUGUUUACUUCGAAUACCCCUCCCGCUAUUUGCCCAUCUCCGCUCACUGAAUUCCGAUCUGCCAUUUCCUGUUACGGUUCAUCUGUCCCUGGGCACCCUCUCCACAUGGCGCAUCGUGUGCAAGAGAUGCACUGCAUGGGGCGACACAGACGUGUGUCAUGAAACGCUUGAAACGAAGCAAAGUACAUGCGGGUGACUUCACUGGCCCCUUCUCCAUUUUUCGUUUUCUGCACUGCUCUGUGGUAUUGGACUCUGCGUCAUGGGAAGACGCCUCGAGCAAGUAGAAGGUGCCUAAACGAACUUUAGUGAAGCAGGUCUAACAUCAGAGAACCUCCCAGUAGCGCCCUCAUUGCGCGCUUUUUUUUCUCAACUGAUGCCGUGACUUGUUAAGGGUGCUCAUGAUGUGCCCGCAUUCAUCUUUUCUUGACUCUGGCAUCCAUUGCAUGCGGCGACGCAGCGCCGACCCUUGCGUUCUCCAUCUUUUUCUCCAGACCGCAUGCACAUGAGCACUUUUCGGAACAUGAAUAGAGUAAAAUGUUGCGACGCACCUUACACGCGCUGCUGCUAUCGCACCGCUUGCCGACCACGGCAUCCGCCUGCUCCUGCUGCGGCCCCGCUCAGAUGCGUAUCGUUAGCGCACCAUAUUUUUGCUGUGAGAGACACUAUACAAACACAUAUAAUCCCCUUACCUCUGUCUCUUCUUUCCAUUCGCCCUCUCCCAUCGAUUUCACUUGCGUCUGUCUUUUUUUUUUCCGUAUGCGUGUGUGUGUGCAACCUGUCAGCUGAGUGACGUGGCGCAUUUCUGCCGCAGCGUCUUCUGUGCUGUUAAGCCCUUCCACUCCCUCCUCCCACGUGGCACCAGUGUGUAUCUCUUUCUGAUUGUCCUCACCACGCGUGGCGGCACCUUCCUGCCCCUUUCCUCCCCCUCCCUCUCACUCACUCCCUCUCUCUCGGUGUGCUUGGGAGCGUCGGACGCGCCCCCUUUCUUUUUUGUUCUUCUUACAUCGGAGUUCUCUUCUGUUUUACGUGUUUUCGUUCGGUGCUCCACUUUGCGCUGUUAACAUCUGUUUUUGUGCGUGUGUGUGUGUGUUAUCCCUUCCGCUGUCCUUAUUCUUCCGGGAACAGUGGUUCCUUCCUUCCACUUCCCUCCCUCCAUCGUCUUCGAGCACACGCACACACAAACACUCACGCGCUCUUGCCCUGGCCUGUUCGGGUGUGCGACCAGUUGUUCUCUUCAAGUGCACCGUUCCUUGAACGGACGGCCUGGGGUGCGAUCUCAGCACUCAACCAAAGAGGGAGCGAUGCUUUACGGGAAAAGCUUUCAGAUCCAGAGGAAAAGUGGCCCCUCACACACACACACACACACACACGAGAGCGUGCAGUCACAGAGCGGAAAACGCGCCAUUCCCUCUGCAGUAGGCAACAGAGUGCUCCGCAAGUGAUGGGGAAAAAAUGCCACUCUUCCCUACG
rnacentral:misc_RNA from 1 species